UAAGUAACACUGGCCGGGCGUGGUGGCUCGCGCCUGUAAUCCCAGGAUUUUGGGAGGCCCAGGCGGGCGGAUUACCUGAUAACAGGAGUUCGAGACCAGCCUGGCCAACAUGGCGAAACCCCGUCUCUACUAAAAAUACAAAAAUUAGCCGGGCGUGGUGGCGGGCGCCUCUAACCCCAGCUACUCGGGAGGCUGAGGCAGGGAGAACUGCUUGAACCCGGGAGGCGGAGCUUGCAGUGAGCCGAGAUCGCGCCAUUGCACUCCAGCCUGGGUGACAGAGCGAGACUCUGUCUCAAAAAUAAAAUAAAAAUAAAAUAAAAUAACAUAGACCCUCGCAGUUUGAUGUACGCGCUAGUGUGUAUACCUGGAGUCAGGUAUUCAGAAACCAGAUUUUAUUCUUCAAGGAAUCCCAGGAUGCUAGAAAGGUUGAUUGAUUGCACGGCUCUGAAGAAAAGGGGAUCAUGAGCCAAGGAAUGAAGGCAGCCUUCAGAAGCUAGAAAUGACCCUCAGCUAACAGAGAAGAAGGAAAGGAGACUUUGAUCCUUUAACUGCAAAGAACUGAAUUCUGCCAACAACUAAACAAACAAGGAAAUGGAUUUGCCCCCUACCCCAAAACCUCCAUAAAGGAAUGCAUUCCUGCCAGCACCUUGAAUUUAGCCCAGCCGAGCCGAAGCUGGACGGUACUGCUGCCAUCUCAGCUCACUGCAACCUCCCUGCCUGAUUCUCCUGCCUCAGCCUGCCGAGUGCCUGCGAUUGCAGGCGCGCGCCGCCACGCCUGACUGGUUUUCGUAAUUUUUUGGUGGAGACGGGGUUUUGCUGUGUCGGCCGGGCUGGUCUCCAGCUCCUAACCGCGAGUGAUCUGCCAGCCUUGGCCUCCCGAGGUGCCGGGAUUGCAGACGGAGUCUCGUUAACUCAGUGCUCAAUGGCACCCAGGCUGGAGUGCAGUGGCGUGAUCUCGGCUCGCUACAACCACCUCCCAGCCGCCUGCCUUGGCCUCCCAAAGAGGCAAGAUUGCAGCCUCUGCCCGGCCGCCCCCCCGUCUGGGAAGCGAGGAGCAUCUCCGCCUGGCCGCCCACCGUCUGGGAUGUGAGGAGCCCCUCUGCCUGGCUGCCCAGUCUGGAAAGUGAGGAGCGUCUCUGCCCGGCCGCCAUCCCAUCUAGGAAGUGAGGAGCGCCUCUUCCCGGCCGCCAUCACAUCUGGGAAGUGAGGAGCGUCUCUGCCCGGCCACCCAUCGUCUGAGAUGUGGGGAGCACCUCUGCCCUGCCGCCCCGUCCGGGAUGUGAGGAGCGUCUCUGCCCGGCCGCCCCGUCUGAGAAGUGAGGAGACCCUCUGCCUGGCAACCGCCCCGUCUGAGAAGUGAGCAGCCCCUCCGCCCGGCAGCCGCCCCGUCUGAGAAGUGAGGAGCCCCUCCGCCCAGCAGCCACCCCGUCUGGGAAGUGAGGAGCGUCUCCGCCCGGCACCACCUCGUCCGGGAGGGAGGUGGGGGGGUCAGCCCCCCGCCCGGCCAGCCGCCCCGUCCGGGAGGGAGGUGGGGGGAUCAGCCCCCCGCCCGGCCAGCCGCCCUGUCCGGGAGGUGAGGGGCGCCUCUGCCCGGCCGCCCCUACUGGGAAGUGAGGAGCCCCUCUGCCCGGCCAGCCGCUCCGUCCGGGAGGGAGGUGGGGGGGUCAGCCCCCCGCCCGGCCAUCCGCCCCAUCCGGGAGGUGGGGGGGUCAGCCCCCCGCCCGGCCAGCCGCCCCGUCCGGGAGGGAGGUGGGGGUGUCAGCCCCCCGCCCGGCCAG